rnacentral:piRNA from 1 species
UGGGACGGUGAAUAAAAGCUGGACAUGGC